rnacentral:lncRNA from 1 species
UGCCUCCUAAAUGCUGGGAUUAAAGGGUGUGCCACCACUGCUCUGCUAGUCUAAGGCUUUCCAGAGAAGGAUCAUGUUCUUGCAGGGUCCCAUUUCUCUCAGUAGACAAGAGAGGCUAAACCAGGCUGCAGGUGACAGGAAGAAUUGAAUAAACUGAAAGCAAAGGGCAGCCUUCUAAUUACGCUUCGUGGCUAUGUGGACAACCUGGAGAAGUCUGGAAACGUGAGUGGUGCUAAUCCCCUUUGUAAUGAAAGGCCCGGGUAAAAACAGAUGGGGCAAGUAGGUGUAAUGGGUAUUUCAGGAGCUUGAAUCUGAUGUCACAGCUUGUCUGGAUGGGACGUGCAUCUACUUGCAGAGCUAUGUUCCCAUCUAGUGUAAUUGUGGGUGUUUUAAUUCAGGCGUCACCUCUAUUUUGUCCUCUCUCCACAGCUUUCCUCCUCCAUUUUACUACUUGAGGGAGCAGUGGGUGGGAUACUAGGCAAGUAGCUGCAAUGGCUGGUGCUUUAUGGUUCCCUGGCAUCCCCUGAAUCUGUUAACAUCCCAACCUUCUUGACAGCCAGCCCCACCCCAUCACAUUCUUACUCCUUCCCUUUCCAAGAAAGAAGCCAGAAGCCCGAAGCCAGCAGUAGAGCUCUGACUGGCUUGUAUGCCUAGAAAGGAAGGGCUCUUCUUUCGCCUCACGGGCACAAAUGGGACCCACGAGCGCCGAUUUCAGACUAUUCUGAUCCCUUCAAAAAGAAAGUUAGGAGUCCAGGCUACUUCACUUUGGUGAUAGUAAUCAAACCCUAAUCACGGUGCAGCCACAAGUCACAGAGACCGAAAUAGCAGACUUAUGACAGACAAGGAUGGAGACAGCUAAGGAACUGGCUAUUAAUCACCAGUCCCUCUGCUCACAGCCCAUUGGGUAGGUGUCUGGAGAAGAGCUGAAGCAAAGGGUUAUCAGCCUGUGCCCCAGGCCUCUGAGCAGCCAAGGCCCCUAGGUCCCAGAACAACACAGUGAACAGGAAAUGGCCUCCAAGAAAGUUAAGUUCUCUGCAUGUGUCAAGGAGAGGUGGUUCACAGAAAGACCUGUUUUGAGCCAAAUCAAGGCCAAGAGGAGUCUCCCAA